GACGAACGCUGGCGGCGUGCUUAACACAUGCAAGUCGAACGGAAAGGCCCUGCUUUUGUGGGGUGCUCGAGUGGCGAACGGGUGAGUAACACGUGAGUAACCUGCCCUUGACUUUGGGAUAACUUCAGGAAACUGGGGCUAAUACCGGAUAGGAGCUCCUGCUGCAUGGUGGGGGUUGGAAAGUUUCGGCGGUUGGGGAUGGACUCGCGGCUUAUCAGCUUGUUGGUGGGGUAGUGGCUUACCAAGGCUUUGACGGGUAGCCGGCCUGAGAGGGUGACCGGGCAAAAUGGGAACGAGAUAAGGCCCAGAACACUAAGGGAGGGAGGAGUGGGGAAUAUUGCACAAUGGGCGGAAGCCUGAUGCAGCAACGCCGCGUGCGGGAUGACGGCCUUCGGGUUGUAAACCGCAUUCGCCUGUGACGAAGCGUGAGUGACGGUAAUGGGUAAAGAAGCACCGGCUAACUACGU
rnacentral:rRNA from 1 species